rnacentral:rRNA from 1 species
GUCGAGAAUCUUUCACAAUGGGCGAAAGCCUGAUGGAGCGACGCCGCGUGGAGGAUGAAGGUCUUCGGAUCGUAAACUCCUGUCAUUGGGGAACAAAGCCCCGCGCAAGCGGGGCCUGAUAGUACCUGAAGAGGAAGAGACGGCUAACUCUGUGCCAGCAGCCGCGGUAAUACAGAGGUCUCUAGCGUUGUUCGGAUUCAUUGGGCGUAAAGGGUGCGUAGGCGGUCGGCCAAGUCACAUGUGAAAUUUCGGGGCUCAACCCCGAAACUGCAUGCGAUACUGGCUGGCUCGAGGGCCGGAGAGGAGACUGGAAUUCACGGUGUAGCAGUGAAAUGCGUAGAUAUCGUGAGGAACGCCAGUGGCGAAAGCGGGUCUCUGGACGGCACCUGACGCUGAGGCACGAAGGCCAGGGGAGCAAACGGGAUUAGAAACCCCGGUAGUCC